CCACAUAUGGAAAUGGAGGGAGGAAAAGAAAGAACCAAAGGAAAGCAGACACUGAGAGAGAGAGAUGAAUCCAAAGGAACUCCAUGACGCAGAGUCUCGAGGCCUGGAAGAGCACUGGAGAGCUCCGUCGGAGGGGCAAUGUUCCCUGUAAAAGACAAAAGACACAUCUACCUGCCUUCAGCCUCCAUCAGCAUUUUCCAGUUUUUGAUCAGGAGUCAGUCCUUUUGCAUGCAGCCUCCACACAGGUGGCUCAUGCUGAGGAGCCUUUGUACUGAGACCUUCAUUAAUAAGCAUACGCAAUAACUGCUCUGACACGACUUGUGAGUAUUUCAUCAUUUUGUUUAAAUAAAGUGUUUGAAAAAAGGGUAA
rnacentral:lncRNA from 1 species